rnacentral:lncRNA from 1 species
AAAAAAAACUUGAAAAGCUUCCAAGUUCUAUAAUUCAACCUCCGAGUUGUAAUUUCAAGAUAUAUUAAUUUCUAUCUGAUCUUCUAGAAUGCCACUUGAAAUGAAAGGCGUGGAGCCCAUGAGAGGGUUGAUCUAAAAUCUUCAAAUUACCCAUCGUUCUUGUAUUGUUUAUAACCAAGGAAAGGUAGACAGACCCCUUGGCUGCUAGGUCUGGAUAUAUAGAAGACCAUUUUUGUAAUAGCAGAGUUUUUUCUUCGAUGGGAAAGAACAUCUCCAGUCUUG